GUCCUAAAAAAAUCAGGUAAACACAACACAGGAGUAGAACACAACUUAUCCUUAAUCAAAUGAAAUGCAUCUUCCUGUGCUUUACCCCAUGCAAGAGCAACAUUUUUCUUAACAAGUUCAUUCAAUUGUGCAACAAUGGUGCUAGUCUCUUUCAAAAAUCUCUUAUAAAAACUAGCCAAUGCAUGAAAAUUACGCAUAUCAGACACAGAUUUAGGAGUUAGCCAAUCUUUAAUAGCCUUAACCUUUUCCUCAUCAAUUUCAAUACUAUUUCCACUAACCACAUAACCCAAGAAAAUAACUUUUUCCAUGCAA
rnacentral:misc_RNA from 1 species